CCUUCGAUAGCUCAGUUGGUAGAGCGGUGGACUGUAGAGGGAACAAAACAUAGGCAUCCAUAGGUCGCUGGUUCAAAUCCGGCUCGAAGGA
rnacentral:tRNA from 2 species